GACAGAGGUGCCAAGCGUUAGGCGGAAUCACUGGGCUUAAAGCGUGUGUAGGCGGAUUGGUAAGUACCUUGUGAAAUCCCACAGCUCAACUGUGGAACUGCUCGGUAUACUGCUUAUCUUGAGCCACUUAGGGGCUGUCGGAACAAAUGGUGGAGCGGUGAAAUGCGUAGAUAUUCGGAGGAACACCAGUGGCGAAGGCGGCUCACUGGUCCAUUACUGACGCUGAGGUGCGAAAGCGUGGGGAGCAAACAGG
rnacentral:rRNA from 1 species